CCCUUAGAUGUCCGGGGCUGCACGCGCGCUACACUGAAGGAAUCAGCGUGCUAAAACCAUUGUCGAAAGGCAUUGGUAAACCCAUUAAAAUCCUACGUGAUUGGGAUCGGGAAUUGCAAUUAUUUCCCUUGAACGAGGAAUUCCCAGUAAGUGUGGGUCAUAAGCUCGCGUUGAUUACGUCCCUGCCCUUUGUACACACCGCCCGUCGCUACCCGGGACUGAGCCGUUUCGAGAAAAGCGGGGACUGCUGCUGUCGGGGCUUUCGGGCCUUGGCUUCGGUGGAAACCGCUUUAAUCGCAGUGGCUUGAACCGGGCAAAAGUCGUANCA
rnacentral:rRNA from 1 species